rnacentral:rRNA from 1 species
CUACGGGUUGCUCCAGUGGGGAAUAUUGCGCAAUGGGCGAAAGCCUGACGCAGCAACGCCGUGUGAGGGAUGAAGGCUUUCGGGUCGUAAACCUCUGUCAGAAGGGAAGAACGGGUAUUGGUCUAAUAGGCCAUUAUUUUGACGGUACCUUCAGAGGAAGCACCGGCUAACUCCGUGCCAGCAGCCGCGGUAAUACGGAGGGUGCAAGCGUUAUUCGGAAUUACUGGGCGUAAAGCGCACGUAGGCCGCUUUGUAAGUCAGGGGUGAAAUCCCACGGCUCAACCGUGGAACUGCCUUUGAAACUGCAGAGCUUGAAUCCUGGAGAGGGUGGCGGAAUUCCUGGUGUAGGAGUGAAAUCCGUAGAUAUCAGGAGGAACACCGGUGGCGAAGGCGGCCACCUGGACAGGUAUUGACGCUGAGAUGCGAAAGUGUGGGGAGCAAACAGGAUUAGAUACCCCAGUAGUC